rnacentral:rRNA from 1 species
AUUGAACGCUGGCGGCAGGCCUAACACAUGCAAGUCGAAUGGUAACAGGAAACAGCUUGCUGUUUCGCUGACGAGUGGCGGACGGGUGGGUAAUGUCUGGGAAACUGCCUGAUGGAGGGGGAUAACUACUGGAAACGGUAGCUAAUACCGCAUAACGUCGCAAGACCAAAGAGGGGGACCUUCGGGCCUCUUGCCAUCAGAUGUGCCCAGAUGGGAUUAGCUAGUAGGUGGGGUAACGCCUCACCUAGGCGACGAUCCCUAGCUGGUCUGAGAGGAUGACCAGCCACACUGGAACUGAGACACGGUCCAGACUCCUACGGGAGGCAGCAGUGGGGAAUAUUGCACAAUGGGCGCAAGCCUGAUGCAGCCAUGCCGCGUGUAUGAAGAAGGCCUUCGGGUUGUAAAGUACUUUCAGCGGGGAGGAAGGGAGUAAAGUUAAUACCUUUGCUCAUUGACGUUACCCGCAGAAGAAGCACCGGCUAACUCCGUG